AAGUCGUAACAAGGUUUCCGUAGGUGAACCUGCGGAAGGAUCAUUAACACGUAUCCACGUAUCUACCUCUUGCGAACUUGUUUUUGUUUAUAGUUAUGCUGGAUAUGGAUAGUAGGAAGCAGAUGGCCAUGUCAGAAUCGACCUUCUGUUCUGCUUGCCUUCCACCCAAUGCUGAGUGCUAGUGUAUUGAGAUCUGGAGUUUAUCGUCCUGAACAUCCAGUCCUGCUAGCCUGAACACUCCUUGGGAUGGGUAUCCAGUGUAACUCGAAUCAUGGUGGUUUCUAACCAUUCACCCCUUUUUUUUAAUUAUUUGUCUUAGUGAGUGUUUUCUUUUUUGUUUUCGUCGUCUCGAAGCAGAAAAAAACCUCCCCCAAAAAAUAACAAAAAUACAACUCUUAGCAACGGAUAUCUCGGUUCU
rnacentral:misc_RNA from 1 species